GGGUCAGUAGGUUGGUCGUGCCACCGGUACGUACUGGUCUCACUGAUUCCUCCUUCCUGAAGAACCGUAAUGCCAUUAAUCUGGUGUUGCUGGGAAACAGGACUGUUACUUUGAAAAAAUUAGAGUGUUUAAAGCAAGCUAACGCUUGAAUACAUUAGCAUGGAAUAAUGAAAUAGGACGAUCGAUCCUAUUUUGUUGGUUUCUAGGAUUGACGUAAUUAUUAAUAGGGAUAGUUGGU
rnacentral:rRNA from 1 species